GUGCCAGCCGCCGCGGUAAUACGAGAGGGGCAAGCGUUAUUCAGAAUGAUUGGGCGUAAAGAGCACGUAGGCGGUUUAUUUAUUUUACAUUUGAAAGUUCAAAGCUCCACUUUGAGAAUGAAUGAUUAAGAUAGUAAACUUGAGUAAAUAAAAAGGAAAUAGAAUUCCUGGGGGAGAGGUAAAAUUUGUUGAUCUCAGGAGGAAUACCAAAAGCGAAAGCAGUUUCCUUGUAUUUUACUGACGUUGAGGUGCGAAAGCGUGGGGAUCAAAAGGGAUUAGAUACCCUAGUAGUCC
rnacentral:rRNA from 1 species